UACGUAGGGGGCAAGCGUUGUCCGGAAUCAUUGGGCGUAAAGCGCGUGUAGGCGGCUCAGUAAGUCCGCUCUGAAAGCCCGGGGCUCAACCCCGGGAGGCGGGUGGAUACUGCUGAGCUCGAGUCCGGAAGAGGCGAGUGGAAUUCCUGGUGUAGCGGUGAAAUGCGCAGAUAUCAGGAGGAACACCAAUGGCGAAGGCAGCUCGCUGGGACGGUACUGACACUGAGACGCGAAAGCGUGGGGAGCAAACAGG
rnacentral:rRNA from 1 species